UCCCUGAUAGUUUAGUGGCUAAGACUCUGAGCUCCCAGUACAGUGGGCCUGGGUUCAAUUCCUGGUCAGGGAA
rnacentral:tRNA from 1 species